rnacentral:tRNA from 1 species
AAUAAAAUGCCUGAUAAAAGGACUAUUUUGAUAGAAUAGAUAAUAUGAUAAAUAAAUCAUUUUUAUUU